AAAUCAUUUUGGGGACAAUUUCUUAUUAACCCUUUGUACCGCUCCCAUGGCUUAUAUAAAGACUCCCCCACUUAUUGCUUAAAAUUAGCUAUGACCUUUUUGAGUUU